AACCCUUGACAUGGGCAUCGCGGGACCAGAGAUGGUUCUUUCAGUUCGGCUGGAUGCCACACAGGUGCUGCAUGGCUGUCGUCAGCUCGUGUCGUGAGAUGUUCGGUUAAGUCCGGCAACGAGCGCAACCCACACUUCCAGUUGCCAUCAUUCAGUUGGGCACUCUGGAAGAACUGCCGGUGAUAAGCCGGAGGAAGGUGUGGAUGACGUCAAGU
rnacentral:rRNA from 1 species